AUGAGUUGCUUCGCUUGGAACUGUCGCGGGCUUGGGAACCCGGAGACAGUUCGUGAGCUUCACAACUUAGUGAGGCUGGAAGCGCCCGCCUUGGUCUUUGUGUCUGAAACAAAGAUCGACGAAAGGAGAGUAGCAGACAUAGCUUCAAGGUUAGGGUUCGCUGGUUGUAUGCCCAUAAGCAGUAACGGCUUAGGCGGUUUAGCUUUAUUUUGGUCUAAGGAG
rnacentral:rRNA from 1 species